rnacentral:rRNA from 1 species
AUUGAACGCUGGCGGCAGGCUUAACACAUGCAAGUCGAGCGGAGAUGAGGUGCUUGCACCUUAUCUUAGCGGCGGACGGGUGAGUAAUGCUUAGGAGUCUGCCUAUUAGUGGGGGACGACAUUCCGAAAGGAAUGCUAAUACCGCAUACGCCCUACGGGGGAAAGCAGGGGAUCUUCGGACCUUGCGCUAAUAGAUGAGCCUAAGUCGGAUUAGCUAGUUGGUGGGGUAAAGGCCUACCAAGGCGACGAUCUGUAGCGGGUCUGAGAAGAUGAUCCGCCACACUGGGACUGAGACACGGCCCAGACUCCUACGGGAGGCAGCAGUGGGGAAUAUUGGACAAUGGGCGGAAGCCUGAUCCAGCCAUGCCGCGUGUGUGAAGAAGGCCUUUUGGUUGUAAAGCACUUUAAGCGAGGAGGAGGCUACCUGGAUUAAUACUCUAGGAUAGUGGACGUUACUCGCAGAAUAAGCACCGGCUAACUACGUGCCAGCCGCCGCAGUAAAAC